rnacentral:rRNA from 1 species
UACGUAGGGGGCAAGCGUUGUCCGGAUUUAUUGGGCGUAAAGAGCGUGUAGGCGGCCAAACAGGUCAGCUGUGAAAACUCGAGGCUCAACCUCGAGACGUCGGUUGAAACCGUUUGGCUAGAGUCCGGAAGAGGAGAGUGGAAUUCCCGGUGUAGCGGUGAAAUGCGCAGAUAUCGGGAAGAACACCCGUGGCGAAGGCGGCUCUCUGGGCCGAUAUUGACGCUGAGGAGCGAAAGCGUGGGGAGCGAACAGG